CGGACGGGUGAGUAACACGUGGGUAACCUACCUAUAAGACUGGGAUAACUUCGGGAAACCGGAGCUAAUACCGGAUAAUAUAUUGAACCGCAUGGCUCAAUAGUGAAAGACGGUUUUGCUGUCACUUAUAGAUGGAUCCGCGCCGCAUUAGCUAGUUGGUAAGGUAACGGCUUACCAAGGCAACGAUGCGUAGCCGACCUGAGAGGGUGAUCGGCCACACUGGAACUGAGACACGGUCCAG
rnacentral:rRNA from 1 species